rnacentral:rRNA from 1 species
GACGAACGCUGGCGGCGUGCUUAACACAUGCAAGUCGAACGGAAAGGCCCUGCUUUUGUGGGGUGCUCGAGUGGCGAACGGGUGAGUAACACGUGAGUAACCUGCCCUUGACUUUGGGAUAACUUCAGGAAACUGGGGCUAAUACCGGAUAGGAGCUCCUGCUGCAUGUUGGGGGUUGGAAAGUUUCGGCGGUUGGGGAUGGACUCGCGGCUGAUCAGCGUGUUGGUGGGGUAGUGGCUGACCAAGGCUUUGACGGGUAGCCGGCCUGAGAGGGUGAACGGCCACCUUGGGACUGAGAUACGGACCAGAAUCCUACGGGAGGCAGCAGUGGGGAAUAUUGCACAAUGGGCCGAAGCGUGAUGCAGCAACGCCGCGUGCGGGAUGCCGGCCUUCGGGUUGUAAACCGCUUUCGCCUGUGACGACGCGAGAGUGACGGUACUGGGUAAAGAAGCAACGGCUAACUACGUG